rnacentral:rRNA from 1 species
GUCGAGCGGCGGACGGGUGAGUAAUGCCUAGGAAAUUGCCCUGAUGUGGGGGAUAACCAUUGGAAACGAUGGCUAAUACCGCAUGAUGCCUACGGGCCAAAGAGGGGGACCUUCGGGCCUCUCGCGUCAGGAUAUGCCUAGGUGGGAUUAGCUAGUUGGUGAGGUAAGGGCUCACCAAGGCGACGAUCCCUAGCUGGUCUGAGAGGAUGAUCAGCCACACUGGAACUGAGACACGGUCCAGACUCCUACGGGAGGCAGCAGUGGGGAAUAUUGCACAAUGGGCGCAAGCCUGAUGCAGCCAUGCCGCGUGUGUGAAGAAGGCCUUCGGGUUGUAAAGCACUUUCAGUCGUGAGGAAGGUAGUGUAGUUAAUAGCUGCAUUAUUUGACGUUAGCGACAGAAGAAGCACCGGCUAACUCCGUGCCAGCAGCCGCGGUAAUACGGAGGGUGCGAGCGUUAAUCGGAAUUACUGGGCGUAAAGCGCAUGCAGGUGGUUUGUUAAGUCAGAUGUGAAAGCCCGGGGCUCAACCUCGGAAUAGCAUUUGAAACUGGCAGACUAGAGUACUGUAGAGGGGGGUAGAAUUUCAGGUGUAGCGGUGAAAUGCGUAGAGAUCUGAAGGAAUACCGGUGGCGAAGGCGGCCCCCUGGACAGAUACUGACACUCAGAUGCGAAAGCGUGGGGAGCAAACAGGAUUAGAUACCCUGGUAGUCCACGCCGUAAACGAUGUCUACUUGGAGGUUGUGGCCUUGAGCCGUGGCUUUCGGAGCUAACGCGUUAAGUAGACCGCCUGGGGAGUACGGUCGCAAGAUUAAAACUCAAAUGAAUUGACGGGGGCCCGCACAAGCGGUGGAGCAUGUGGUUUAAUUCGAUGCAACGCGAAGAACCUUACCUACUCUUGACAUCCAGAGAACUUUCCAGAGAUGGAUUGGUGCCUUCGGGAACUCUGAGACAGGUGCUGCAUGGCUGUCGUCAGCUCGUGUUGUGAAAUGUUGGGUUAAGUCCCGCAACGAGCGCAACCCUUAUCCUUGUUUGCCAGCGAGUAAUGUCGGGAACUCCAGGGAGACUGCCGGUGAUAAACCGGAGGAAGGUGGGGACGACGUCAAGUCAUCAUGGCCCUUACGAGUAGGGCUACACACGUGCUACAAUGGCGCAUACAGAGGGCGGCCAACUUGCGAAAGUGAGCGAAUCCCAAAAAGUGCGUCGUAGUCCGGAUUGGAGUCUGCAACUCGACUCCAUGAAGUCGGAAUCGCUAGUAAUCGUGGAUCAGAAUGCCACGGUGAAUACGUUCCCGGGCCUUGUACACACCGCCCGUCACACCAUGGGAGUGGGCUGCAAAAGAA